AUUGAACGCUGGCGGCAGGCCUAACACAUGCAAGUCGAGCGGAUGAAGGGAGCUUGCUCCUGGAUUCAGCGGCGGACGGGUGAGUAAUGCCUAGGAAUCUGCCUGGUAGUGGGGGAUAACGUCCGGAAACGGGCGCUAAUACCGCAUACGUCCUGAGGGAGAAAGUGGGGGAUCUUCGGACCUCACGCUAUCAGAUGAGCCUAGGUCGGAUUAGCUAGUUGGUGGGGUAAAGGCCUACCAAGGCGACGAUCCGUAACUGGUCUGAGAGGAUGAUCAGUCACACUUCAUCUGAGACGCGGUCCAUACUCUUCUGGGCGGCAGCAGUGGGGAGUGUUGGCCAAUGGGCGAUAGCCUCAUCCAGCCACGGCUCCUGUGUGAAGAAGGUCUUCGGCUUGUAAAGCACUUUACGUUGGGAGGACGCGCAGUAAGUUAAUACCUUGCUGUUUUGUCGUUCCCAACAGAAUACGCACCGGCUAACUUCGU
rnacentral:rRNA from 1 species